rnacentral:lncRNA from 1 species
UUUCUCUCUCUAGAAGAUAAGAAGAAGAAGAAAGGAAAGGGAAGAAAAAGAAGAAGAAGGAGGUCUUCCUCAUCUUCCUCAUUUUCUCCUUGGUUGGAUCUUCUUGGAGAGGUAAGCUUCUAAGCUCUCUCUCAUGGUGGAUUUCUGGAGAUAGAUUUGAUUGCUCUAGAAAUGGAGUUUUGUAUUAUGUGAGGGCGUAGUACCUGCCAGUACAGGUAUAAAGCCAGAUGGCACUAGCGAAGUGUUAGAAGUAAUCUAUGGCGAGAAGUGAGACUCGCGGUAAAGAUAAAAGUGUCGAAAUGACUCUCAGAGCAAUAUGAGUAGUAAAUUGCGAGAGUCGAGCCAUAAUGCCUAUGGGCACCCAAGUAGUCCGAAAAUGUCGGAUGUCAUUCUGGUAGAUCGAACAGUGAAAGUAGCAUCACUGUUGAGAGAACGGUUGAUUAGUGGCCAAGUUUGAGCACGUGGGCCUAGUAGUACCUCAAGGUGAGGUAGGCGGUUGUGCUCGUGCGGCCAGUGUGCAUAGGCAAGAUUGCCUAAUGUUGGAUUUUGUGUGAAAUGCUGUAGAGGCGUAGAGCGCUCGAGUGUAGAUACCUGUAGAGUGCGGAUGUGGAUUCAGCUGAGACAGUGUACUGGCAGUAGCACUUGAGCAUUGCUAGGUGUGAAGCGUGCCAUGGAUCACUCGUGGGACUGGUGACUCGCAUUAGGUGCAUAGUAGCCGGUAGUGAUACGUGUGACUCGGUAGAGCAUAUCGUGUAGGACGACGACGGCGGGUAGUGCUUGGGGGACGACCCGUGCCUGGACCGUUUGUGGACUGUGGAGCCUCGGCCCAUUGGGCAGGCGCAGUCAGCUGCGAGUGACAAUGGCCCGGUACCUACGGGUAGGGCGGAGUUCUGGUCAGGACGGUAGUCCGAGCUUAAACCCGGGAGCGUAGAAUGCUACGUGAUAGAUUGUGUGACCGAUGGUACACCGAGUAUGGUUGUGACCCAACCCGAGGACAUGACGUGGUUUGGGGCCUUAGUUGCUCCUGGUUGGAGUGUGUGCGAAUUCCCAAGUGAGAAUUUCGCCCGAUCAAGAUUGGGCCUGCAUUUGCGAGCGAGAGACACUGCGUAUUGAGACAGGUUUAGGUGGUAGGCCUACGUAGGAUUGGUGGCCUGUGGUCCACCUGUGGAGACCGAAGAGAGCGAUUUGGCGGAUAGCCUUAUCGAGAAAUUCGACUCGAAUUCACGAACGAAGCGCUCGUGUGAGCUCGUUGCGAAAAUAGUUUGAUGUUAAUCGUGGCAUGUGGUAUCAGAUGAUGAAGUACUCAUUGUGAGACAUCAAACGAGUGGAAAGCCACGUGAUGUUGGAGAUUAUGCCCGUAAGCGAACUAAGACUUGAGAGGUGCCGAAGUGGGCCAUCUCACGUUAAAGUUAAUGGUCAGUGCGAAAUUAGAGCACUCAUAACGGAGUGAUGCAUCGGUGAUAUUGCUCCUAAGCAAUGUCGGUGAUCGAAUCAGAAUGUAUUCCCUUAAGGGAAGGUAAGUGCAAAGAAGAGUUCUUUGUAUACCGAAUGGCGAGUGGUGUUGGAGCACGUAGAGUCGUCGAGUACCGACUUGCGCUGCCACUAUGACUUGCAAGACCCGUGAUGCACUUUUGUAUCACACCUUGCAAAUGUGUUUAGGGUUAAACCACGUCCUUCAGUGUGAGCCGCUUCUGGAACACGAUUGUGUGAAGCCGUUUAGUGGGGGAAUGAGUUGGGUACCCUCAAUUGCUCAUGGAGCUGAAUUGAGCGUGAUUGAAUUUCGCGGACGAAAUUCGUUAAGGGGUGGAGAAUGUAACAUACCAAAUUUUGGUAUAAAAAUAAAAAUAAAUAAAAAAAUAGUGUGAGAAACUAUUUUUAUUGGAUUUAUAGAAGUAAAACAUAAGUCAGAAGUGACUUGUGCUGAAAAUCGGAAUGAAAACAGAAGAUUUAGAAUUUUCUGUUGGAAACGGGACAGAUAAAUUAGCCAGAAAAUGCACAGUCUCAAAAUUAUAAAAUUGGAGGAUUAAUCAGAAAUUAUUUUUAUGAGGCUAGAUUAAAGUUCAUAUUUUUCUGACACCCGUAGAGUGAGAAAUAAAAUCCGAAAGCUAUCUGAUAAAGAUUGCAGUUCGGUACAGUUUUCAGUGACCAAACGGGGUCGAAACUGAACCAGUGAUCGUCAGCUUGUUAAGUUAAGUAAAACCGAACAUGACUGUCAAGUUUGAGCUCAAACGGACACUCAGGAGCUCCGCGCGAAAGUUAUCAAUAUCAAGCUGCCGGGAUGAAUAGUGUUGGGGUGUAAUUAAAUAGGAGCUCUGGUCUUUUCCCCACAGCCCACACACACCCACGGGUCACACACGCACACACGCUUGGAGAGGGAGAAAGAGGAACUCCAUUUCUCUCUAAAUCUCUCCCAAAAAUGGAGGUUUUGUGGAGAAGUAAGCUUGGAAGUUGAUCUUCAUCUUCUUCGUCUUCUUCCUCUCCAUUGGAGCAAGCUUUGAAGUAAGCUUUCAAACCUUUAAUGGCAUUUCUCUCUAGUUGAUUUUUAAGCUCUAAGAGUGAUUUGAGGUAUUCUAGCAUGCUAAUUAAGGUUUGAUGCUAAACCAAGGCUCUAAUGGUGGAUUUUACCUAGUUGUAAUCUAGGGCUCGAAAAUACUAAUUUGUAAAUAUGAGGGUUUGAUCUCAUUUGCCCUCUGUAAACCUAAUUGCUAGGUAGAACGAACGCUGUUGGCGAAGAACGGUUCGCAAUCCGACGAGCCGUUACAAAGUUAUUAAGAAAAAUUGAACGUUUAGGCUUCGGGUCCGCCGGGAGGGCCGCGGCGAUAUCGUAAAUUCAUUGAAAAUGGAUUUGAAGGUCAUGUGGCACAUAACGAGACCUUUAAUUUUCGGAUCGUGAAUUGGAGGCGUUCGGGUGGUCGCGUGAAAAUCGGGCCAAAUCGGGCCGGGUGCCCGGGGAGGCAUUGCAAGUGUCGCAAGCAAUCGGAAUGCGAAAUAAGGUGGGUUGUGCUACCGAAGCGACUAGGGUCGCCCUUUAUGUCUAAAGAAAUGAGACUUCAAUAUUGAUGCUAUUGACAUAAUGUAAGAAUGUGAAAGAGAUGCAUGUUAACAUUACUAUAGAAAUGCUAGAUAAAUGCAUAUGAUUAAUACUUUGAAUGCAUAUGAAUUAAGUGCUAAAAGAAUGCAUGAGAUGCAAGUAUGGACUAAUUUUGGAUAAUGACUAUAUUAUGUUGACAAAUCAUGUGAUGCUAGUUAUAUAUGCAUGAUGAUAUAUUAUGAUUUACAUAUUGUGGAUUAUGUAUAAAUAGAAAACAUACUUGAUGACAUAUUGCCAUGUUGUGGAACAUAGUGGAACAACUCUAUAUAUAUAGAUCGAGUGGCAUUAAAACCUAGCAUCUUGAACCUAGCAAACACUUGUGGUGAUUGAGCAUGUUUAUUUUGGUGUCUUCAUGUAUGUUAGGACCCUAUUAUUUUGUGAAUGUGAGAGUCGGACUUGACAAUAGUAAACAAGGGUGACAUGAAAUAAGACAUGAUUGGCAUCAAAAAGUGUGUUAAAUAGUUUAACCAUAUUGACAUUGGUCCAAGUUGACAUAGAGAGUGGCAUGAUUAAAUAGGUAGAAAACCUAUUAUGACAUUUACAUUGUGACUAGUGGCUAUGAAUCCUCAAGUUGAGGAUUGAAUCGAUACUCACGUUACGUCUUGGCUUGAGGAGGUAGCUCCCCUCGGGCGGUGCGCUCCGGAGUUGGUCACCACUGGGCUGGUAAAGUUCCCCCAGAUGACGUCCCCAGGGAGGUCGAGUCCCGUUAUUAAGGGAUUUGGUAGUAGUUAUUGGGUUAACAUGGUUAACCGGUAAGAUUGGUUAUAGCCAAUGAGUUUACAACAAGUUAUGCAUUAUGAGUUAUGGAUUUGUAUCCUAGUCGAGAGGAUCUAGGGCUGAGGUUAUGUGAGACGUCCAUCGCCUCGAGCACUGUUCUUGGUGCGUACUUCCGCAGACGAUUGACUCAAGACCGAGUCGGGUGGUUAGCCUCUGUAAAGGUAGAUGGAACUUUAUGUAAUUAAAAACGGUGAUUGACAGAAUCUAUGAUAAAGGAAACCUGGAUAUCAAACGGAUGAACUAUGGUUAGCAAAAGUAAAGUAGUAUCGACAUGAACUACUAGUUGGUUGCAUAGUUGCAUUAUUGCAUGAUUUGCAUAUAGUAUUGCAUUAUUGCAUUCGUGAGGCAAAGCAUGAUUUUAUUAGAUUGCAUAAUAAAGAUAUAUAUCUAUCUGUUUAUUGAACUAACUUGCAGUUGCCUCCCUUCGACCUAUUGGUCGAGCUCUUCCCUUGGGUGGCCGUACCCACUGGAAACCAUGGAGUUGGUUCUCACCCCACGUGGUUUUGGGGUUUUUACAGGUUCGCACGUGAGCGGCGCGGCGGCGCGAGGCGAGGGCGUAGCUCCAUAGUUAGCGCCUUACCACUGAGACCAGAGAUAGUGAUACCCUGAGUCGGCCUUACUUAGGGAUGUAAAGAAUGAAAGAAUCAAGUUGUAAUAAUUAUAUUAAAUCGGAUUGUAUUUGGAAGUUAAAUGUAAUAAGUAUUUGGGAUGUAAAAUGUAUGAAUGUGAAUGCAUGUAAUAACAUAGGAUGUGUUAUGUUGUUUGAUACCUUCCAUUAUGCAAUCUUGAUUGAAAUGUGUUCCUGGUUGGAACUUCGUACAUUGUGUUGAUUGCUAUGCCUUGAACGUACAGGGGAGACUCUGUCCGCAGUACAGGGAAAACCCUGUCCGUUCGGCGAUCUGUUGGCGGCGCCGCGACCCGGCCAAAUAGGCGGGCGGUCGCGGGGCGUGACAAACAUGCAAAGAGUAAAGCACACGAUUGCUAAAGAUAGCCAAAAGUAAAGAAAUGUAAAGACCAUGAUUGCUAGAGCAGCAACAUAAAGUGAUGAAAAGAACACUAGAGUUAGUGUAAUGACAUGAUUGAACUCAUAAUCCUUAGAGUUAAGGAUUCGAUCAUACUUGCUAUGAGUUCCGUGCUCGAGGGCGGUCGCUCUCCCUCGGGCGAUGCACUCCGGAGUUUUUGCAUCACGGGUUGGAGUAAACCCGAGGACGGUCUUAGCGGAAGGAAGCUGAGGGCCCGCGAUGAUGGACUUAAUGUGAAGCAAGUUAAUGUGGCGAAACCCCCGGGUUAGCCGUGAGAUUAAAGAACAAAGAACAAAGAACAAAGAACAAAGUUUAAAGAAUAAAGAGUAAAGAACAAAGAACUUACAUAAUCUGCAUAAGUUUAUGUUGAGCAUACUUCUUGCUUUAUUGUUCAGCCAUAUUAGCAUCAUGUUAUAGAUUGGUUACUAUAUUCAGCUUAUCCUUUCUAUUAUGCCUGAGUCAGUCCUAGUGGGAAAGUCGGUGAUGUUGGGGCCAAACCACUGGAAACUUUGUUGUAGUUCUCACCCCACUAUUCCACAGAGCCGGGACCGAGCGAGCCGGCGAGCGACCGCGGUAAAGGUAUCGCACCAUAGUCAGAGGCCACCAGAGUUCGGUUAUUACAUUUUGUUACUAGUUUACCCUUUUAUCAUCUUUUGUAUUUGAUGAUUUAAGAUGUUAAUGUAUAAAACAAAGAAAGAAAAGAAUGUAAUGUUUAUUUGGAGCAAAUGUGAUGUAAAAAGAAAUGAUGCAAGCAAUGUAAAGGAUCAUGAAUAUACAACUUGGAUGAAAUGGAUGCAUGUAUGUGAUCAAAAGUUGAAUCAUAAUAGUUGUGUAGAUGUUUAGUUCCCUUUCUUUCACUCAUGGCUAUUGCUUACCCUCGUGUAAGCCGUUUGUGUAUGUUUCCGCUAGUGCACUUCUUUUUGAAAAUGUACAUGUGAUGAGCCUUGGGCGGACAGGGAAAACUCUGUCCGUUCGGCGUCUGUUUGACGUGCUCGGGCCGGCCCAAAUUGGUAUUGGUCCCGGGGCGUGACAAGGCUAGAGGACACCUUCGUUUGAGCUUACGAAGGGUUUCGAGACGGUUCGAUGGGUUUGACCUAGCUUAGCAUAUGAGAAAUUCUCAUAUCCUAUGUUUUAUGCUUCGUAAAGUUGAAAUUCAUGCAUUUUCAUGAUAAAUGUAAUUAUUGUGAAUUUUAGGAUGCUUAACAUGCCUAUAUUAUGUGUGAUGAAUUUUCGGACCUCUAUGUAGUAGAGAACUAGCAUGUGAAACUUGUACAUGAUUAGUAUCCCAUUGAGACUUGGAAUCAUAAUUCCUAUUGUGAAAAUGAGCAUUACUUUCCUGCAUUUAAAGCUAUGCCUAUUUGAGACUUAAAGGAUCUUAGCAAGCCAUAAAGGGGCUUGGGGACGUGUACUACUUGAGAAUAAUUGGGCUAAUGUCAUUAAGCGGCAUUAAGCUCGGGUCAUGUAUGAACCUAGUGUUGAGGUCACUAGUGGAAUAUUGAAUAGGUGGUGAGCUUAACCUAUAGCAAUGCUUAAGUGUCAUAAAGAGGCACUAAGCAUAGUGAGAGUUGGAACUUCACAUUGUGACAUUGAACUAGAUCUUUGAGAUGCUAGUGACUUUUACCAUGUUAGAGACAUGAUGAUUGGACUUUUGAGACGUUGACUACGCUUGCUUGCCAUUUGUGCUCAUUCGCACAUGCUUGUGAGGGUCGCUCCCUACAAGCCGGCACUCCGGAGUUGGCCUACGCGACUUAUGCUCGCUCGUGCGGUAUCGAGAAACCUACAGGGUCGGGAGGGAUAGACUCAUUCAUAGAGUGAGAAUGCUGGAGUUACCACCGACACUUAGGUGGCACAAGCUGGACUACACUAUGUAGGUCCUAGAACAUGUUGGAAACAAUGACAUUGAACGGGAAAUGGCAAUCACUACUAGAUAGGUUUAGUAGUUGGAUUACUUUAACAUGCUUAAAGCACAGUGUUAUGACAAGUAGUAUACUUGAUAGUUUACUUGUUGCAUCAUAGUAUACUUGGUUGCCAUGAUAGAGCAUAAUCAUCAUAUAUUGAUAGAACGCAUCAUGAUAUUUACUUGUGGCCAUGUUGGGACACAUUACUUGUGCGUUGGACAUACUUCAUUAUGGAAGAGUAAAUGAACAACACAUUGACAUCGUAAUGCUUAUGGUAUAGUAAGUCUAGUAAACAUACAUGCUUUCAUACCGCAGUUAUUAUUAUCAUCAUUGUUGCUUAUCGUACUUACCCUUUUCUUUUGUGGCCUAAUGAUACAUUGAGCUGAGGUCAGUAAUUGCCCACUGGGAACUAUAAAUUAUAGUUCUCACGUCCUCUGUUUUAUAUUUUUGUUUUCAGAGCCUUUCACGCCGGGAGAGGCUAGGGACCGCGGGAAAGGAAUUGCCUCGAGCUAGCUUGCUUUGAGGGACGUGUCGAUAGGUGGUCUACCUCUCGUUGUUUUCUUUUGGAGAUGUUGAGAGUUGUAUCCAUGUAUAGAGACCACCCUUUUGUGUACCUUUUUGGAGAUGGUUAUUGUAUAACUCUAUGUUUUACCUUUAUUGUUUAGUUACGCUUUAUUUACUUUUGUUACAGAUGAUAGAUGUAUAUUUGCUCUGAUAUCUCUAGUUGUAGAUCAUCUUUUGGUUUUAUUUUUCGCUGUUAUUGUAGACGCCUUAUAUGUGCUGACAUAUGGCGGGUCUGGGCGCGCCACCGGGAGGGCCUCCGCCGGUCCCAGGGCGUGACAAAUUAUUUCUUCACAAUCUCGUCCAACUGACACAGCCAAUGAACAUUAUCUUUUUAUAAAAAAACGGCUGCAAUACAGCAAACAAUCAAGUAUAUAUCCAAGCUUUCAAAUUAUAACAUAUUGUAACAAAAAAAAAAAAAAUUAAGUAUUUAUAUAUUUAUUUUCUUAAAACAAUUUUUUGGAAAAUUUCAAAAGAAAUUUGACAAAUAGCUUUGCAAAAUAACUUUAGAAAACUGUUUUCUAUCUAAACUCAACGAAAAACUCUACAGCUUUUAAUCAAAAUAAAUUAUCAAAGACUAAACCAAUUAUGCAAAAAUCGAUUAACAUUUUAAAUUUAUUUUCUUAAAACAAUUUUUUGGAAAAUUUCAAAAGAAAUUUGACAAAUAGCUUUGCAAAAUAACUUUAGAAAACUGUUUUCUAUCUAAACUCAACGAAAAACUCUACAGCUUUUAAUCAAAAUAAAUUAUCAAAGACUAAACCAAUUAUGCAAAAAUCGAUUAACAUUUUAAAUUUAAUUUAAUUAAAAAGAGUUAAUUAAAAAGGAAAAAAAAUAAGAUAAGCAAAUCAGAUUUCAAAAGUGGAAAGUAGUGUAGAAAAAAUAAGAACUCUACCGCUUUUAAACAAAAUAAAUUAUCCAAGUCUAAACCAAUUAUGCAGAAAUAUAUUAAAAUUUAAAAUUUAAUUUAAUUAAAAAGAGUUAAUUUAAAAAGUAGAAAAUAGUGCAAGAAAAAUAAUCAAUAAGGCAGUCUUUUCACUUAAGCAAAGAACAACUUAAAAGUUUAUAGGAUCGUAGAGCACAGAACCAAGGCUGUAGCAAAAAAAGAUGUAGAAAAAACGGCAACCACUAAAAAGGGUCAAUUGCUUUAGUUAAAUUCAACUUGUGAUUAUUAGAUAUCCUGUAUAAUGCUUCUUCACCUUUUUUUGACCAGUCCUUCGUAAAGCUUAAUUAUGUAAUUUUAGUAAAUUACUUUAAAUUCGAAAGAAUGAACUUUAUUACCAUAUACUUCUCUAUUCCCAUCUAGUUCUUCAAAUUUUCUUUUUCCGUAAUUCCUUUGACAGUAAUUCUGUUCUUUACUCUUUAUAUAUGCAUUCAAAUGUCAAACUCAAACUAUGCUAAGAUAAAAAACAUAAAGCAUAAGAAGAAGUAUACUAUGCUGUUGCCUCUCCUUCAUAUACAUAUUCAACAAUGCAUAAAAAUAAAACCAAAAAAAGAUUGGAGCAAAUAAGAAGAAAAAGGAAUUUGCAAAAAAUAAGAGAAGGAUGAAGAGCCAACAAACGCGUGCAAGGCAAGUGUUAAAAAAAAAAAAAAAAAAAUUGAAGUAUCGAAUGACUAUUUAUUUGGAGUACUAAAUUAAAACCUGACGAAAAGUACAGGAACCAACACUACAAUUUAUCCAAGGAAAAAAACAUUAUACAAUUUUGAGCCUAGGUAUUCUUCCCACCUCUUUCAACUGGAAUCGAUUUGGAGUAUUUACGCAUACCAAGGUUUGUAAGGUUUUCUUCCCAUUUCUUUCGACCAGAUUCUAUGUGGAGUUUCAUUCCACAGAAAGAUAAUUUCAAGUCAUAGGUAUUUAAAUAAAAAAUAAUUAGAAAAUAUAGUUAUGGAUCCUUCAAGUCAUAGGUCUUAAAUUAAUUCCCAUCAUGAAAGUCUUGGGACCCAACUUAACUGGUAAUAUGCCUAACUUUGUUGUAAGUUUCCAAGCAUUAUAAGCAAUCCCAAAACUCCCUUUCUUAUUAUCAUCAAAUUAUCUGCCUAAAUAUUAGAUUAUAGGAUUACUAAAAUUUAAGAAGUAUGCUCAUAAAUGCAAUGGCGUGCAACGGUACUCCUUGUAACGACAUAUGAUUUUAGAACAUAUAUGAUGUAUUGAGAAUUUUUUUCCUAACAAAUGGUGGCUACAACCAAUAAAUGGUAACCACUAACCAAUAGCAAUUGCCUUUACCUAAUCCCUGCCACUUAUCAUCAUAUAUAAAGCAAUUGCUAUAGCAUACAAAUUCCUUUUACCAAGUCCAUGUUUUCUUGACCAUAGACCACUUACCUGUUAAUUUACUUUUUCACUGUUUGCAUCAGUGACAUUUAAUUAUGGAAUAACUUUUCAUGAGCUUUUUGUAAGGACCUAAUUGCAUCAGUGACAUUUAAAGGGAAAGCAAAGCACUAUAUCUAUCUAUAAUCCACACAAUAAUUAAAUUAAAAUGAGAAUUAGUUGAAAUAAGUUCUAAACAUUUUUUUCUUUUUUAAAGGGGCUUUUGUUUUUAUAACAAUGGUUCUAUAGUUAUUUCACUAAACUUAAUUUACACCCUAAUUGCAACUUCAUUGAUCCAAACACCCCACAGGUUGGGCUUUUCUCAAUCAGGCUUAUGACCAUCAUGGAUAGUUAGGCUCGGGGCGGGCCAAUUGCGACUCAUACUUGAAUAGAUAUCAGAUGGAUUUGGAUCCAUCUAUUUGGCUAUAUGAUAUUUGGCUAUACUUGAAUAGAGAUUUCAAGAGAGUCCUGAUGUAACACACUGGACCUUUGCAAAUUGCGAGGUUCGAGUGUUUGGAUGUAUUUCGAGCUUUUCCACACUUUGUGGAGGGUUGUAGAAUAUUUUCCGACCUAAAAAGUUCGAAAACUGGAAUUCUGGACAAGUCCUGAGAGUUUUGACUCUCGGGGACCGGUCCCUGGAAGGAGAGACCGGUCCCCCAGUGAACAGUGUUGCGGCAGCCCUGAGGCAACCGGUCCCUAGCGGGCGAGACCGAUCCCCGAGCGCGCCUUCGCAGAGAGAGACCGGUCCCAUGCAGGGAGAGACCGGUUCCCGAACGAUAGUUUUUCGGGUUCGCAGCGAGAGACCGGUCCCUGCUGGGGAGAGAACAACCGGUCCCUUAGCGAAAACGCCCAGUCGGGCUGGGUUCGAUCUGUUGCAAUAUUGAUUUUUGAGGGGCCCUCCAGAUUUUGUUACACUUACUAUGGUCUAUUAGCCAUUUCCUCUCUUCCCUCUCUCAUUUCUCCUCAUUCUCAAGACACCUCUCCCCCAACUUUCUUAGAGCAAAGAAAAGGAAGAAGAGGAGAUAAGAAGAAGAGAGCUAUCCCCCCCGCUUCGAGAGCUUGUAGCCUGCCACCCCUUCUCUCUUUCCCCACCUUUGUCAAGGCUUGGAGCUUGCUUGUGGGUUUUGGUGUGACCAAACUUCCAACCUUCUCUAGGGGCAUUUUUGAGCUUGGAUAGAAGCUUUCCAAGGGUAGUACAUCAUUUUUCCAACCCCCCCCCAUCCUCUCUAGAUUCUUGUUUUAGGUGAUUUUGGGAAAUGAAUUCCCUAUAAAUCCAGCAUUUUAAGGUUUGAUAUUGGGGCUUUUUGACUAGUUUGAAGGCUAGAUUAAAUUGGGCUUAUAGCACCUUCAUUGGGGCUUCGGAUUUGGUGAAGGGUUCUAGCUCUCCUUUGUCGGAACUUUGGAAGAGAUUUCUUCUCUGAGGUACUUUGGUCCCUUUACUUAUAGGUUACUGUUGAUCUUAUGUUGCCUCGUCACAGCCCCUCGUAUCCUCUUCGCUGAUUACUUUAGGAGUAUUUGAAGACUGCGGGGCACUGAACUGUUUCGGUCGAAACGAACCCUACCGCGACGUGCGGUGGUUGACCUAGCCACACAAUGAGAAUUCUAUUUUGCUUAAUUAAAGUAUUGUUAAAUGGAAACAUCAUGCAUAUUCUAUAUGUAAUUAUAUAUUCGUGAAUUUAGAUAAAUCUUCAAGGACCUUAUGUUGUAUAAAGAUGAAAUUUGUGGACCUACUAUGGAGUACCAGAGUAACUUGGUAGGCUGAUGAGUAUAUAUUAUAGCGUUCAAUAUGAAACUUGUUCAUCCUUACAAAUAAGUGUAUAUAGCUUUGAUUCAUAAAUUUAAACUUAAUUUAUACUAGACAUGAAAGAUGCAAAUUGCCAUAUAAGGUAUUGAACUAAAUUAUGUGAACUAAGAGAGCUAUAUGUCAUCAAGCGGCAAUUACUCAGCGGACAGUCCGGCAUGGCUGAACCUAGUGGAUAGGGCAUUGAAGGAAAGUGUGAAACAAUGCUUAAUAUUAAAUGUCUAAGGUUCAUAACCGGCACUAACCCUAGAGAAAGUUACUUCGCUGUUUGGAUCAGAGUUACCCUAUGUGCAUUGACAUAUUGCAUGAUCGUGAGUUACUUGUUAUGUAAAUUUGAGACAUAUUAGUCAAUCAUCGGAUAUAUUUAACCUAUAUGAUAGCAACGUAAAUUACAUCACCAUGACUCCAUGCUUUAUGGAGACCUAGUAGUAAUACCCCAUUUCAUUUGCAUACUCUUCUUUCAGCAGGUUUCAUGUUCGCUAUUUUUUAAAUUCGACCCGCAAGAAUAUUACUAUAAUUCAUUAUUUACCUUUCUCUUGGCUAGUCGUGCCAUUGAGCUUCGAGUCAGUAAUUGCCCACUGGGAACUAUAAAUUAUAGUUCUCACGCCCUCUUUUUCUCGAUGUUUUUCAGAGCCUUCCACGCAGGGUGAGGCCGGGGAUCGCGGGAAGGGAGUUGCUUCGAACUAGCUUCCUUCGAGGACGAGUCGCUAGGUGCUCCACCUCUCGAUUUAUGUUUUAUUUUGCGAGAGGUUGAGCGUUUACCAGUGUACUAGAGACCACCAUUUUUGUACAUUUGAGACAGAUAUUGUACUUCUUAUGACUCCUUUUACUGUCUAGCUUACUUCAUUACCUUGGUGUAGAUGAUAGAACUAUAUUUGCUCUGAUAUCAUUAGUUGCUAGUUAUCUCACUUCUUCUACUUGUUUUAUUACUUGCUUUUACUUCCGCUUUUCUUGUAGACACCUUAUAUGUGUAGACAUAUGGCGGGUCUGGGCACGCUACCGGGAGGGCCUCCGCCGGUCCCGGGGCGUGACAUCCGCAGACAGUCCCGGGUUUGGGUGCACUUGGAGCUCCCUCCCCACUUUGGGAUUGAAAGAUGAGUUAUUGGCGAACCCUAGGGCUUCGCUACAGAUUGGGUAAAAGAACAGUGAACAAUGUCAUUGAACAUUAUUAUUUGAACAUGGAUCGAAUUCGUUAGCAUGAUAGUAAACCUUUACUAUUUGAUGCAUGGUAUGAGUUUUAGUUGCAUCCCAGUUGAGUGGAUUUAGGGCUGAGGUGCAUGUGAGACAUCCUUCACCUUGAGCCUGGCUUUGUGCGGUAUUCCGCGUAUGAUUGACUCAAGAUCGAGUCGAGUGGAUAGCUUAUGAAAGCAGGUUAAACCUUAUGAGCAGAAUCGUAAUUGACAGGAAUCUAAGAUAGAGGAAAACUUAGAAGUCAAUUGGUAGAACUGUGAAUAAUAGGAAUAAAAGUAGUAUCGAUUGAACUAUUAGUUGGUUGCAUGGUUGCAUAAACUGCAUGAAUUUCAUAUUGCAUUUUGUGAGGCACAACAUGUAUUUCAAUACUUGAAUAUAUAUAUCUGUUGGAUAUCUGUUGGACUAACAUGUUGCAGGGCCUCCUUAGACCUAUUGGUCGAGCUUUUCCCUUGGGUGGCCGUACCCACUGGGAACCAUGGAGUUGGUUCUCACCCCACGUUGUUUUGGGGUGUUACAGGUUCGCACGUGAGCGGCGCGGCGGCNNNNNNNNNNNNNNNNNNNNNNNNNNNNNNNNNNNNNNNNNNNNNNNNNNNNNNNNNNNNNNNNNNNNNNNNNNNNNNNNNNNNNNNNNNNNNNNNNNNNNNNNNNNNNNNNNNNNNNNNNNNNNNNNNNNNNNNNNNNNNNNNNNNNNNNNNNNNNNNNNNNNNNNNNNNNNNNNNNNNNNNNNNNNNNNNNNNNNNNNNNNNNNNNNNNNNNNNNNNNNNNNNNNNNNNNNNNNNNNNNNNNNNNNNNNNNNNNNNNNNNNNNNNNNNNNNNNNNNNNNNNNNNNNNNNNNNNNNNNNNNNNNNNNNNNNNNNNNNNNNNNNNNNNNNNNNNNNNNNNNNNNNNNNNNNNNNNNNUGGAUGGGAUUACCUAGCUUAAUUUCUUUUUGUUCGAGUCCUACUCAGGGACGUUUUCUAGGCUCGUUUCUAGUGACGCCUAGUACUACCACCACUAAAAGUUCACCUACUAGUCCCUAACUAUUUUAAGCCGCUAUCCGAAACACACGGUCGUCUAAGUCUAUAAUUUCUCCUCUAAGAUUGACUUCGUGUAGCCCGUGGCAUAUGAAAUGUGGGGCCCUCAUGUUUUUACAUAUUUCUAGACUUUAACUGAAUGACCACCGGACCUUACUUUUUCUUUCAACGACUAAAACACCGGUCUACGAAUUGGACAGUCGUCCAAUUCCGAUUUGUAGCUGAAGGACGUCCCUUUGAUGUUUCAAAUGGGUAUGGUCACACCUUCACCCUCUCCUAAUGAUACCUAAAAUAACAACCUAAUGGAGCGAGAGUUCGUCCAAUACUACGUUAAACCCAUUAACACCUAUCUAACUGAUUUAGGCGGGUGAAGUAAGGUUAAGUAUGUCACACCAGCCCCCUUUCUGAGCGUGUUCACAUAGAACUACUUUAACACGCUAAUGUGCCUCAAGGACAAAGAUAACAAAGUCUAGCUCUGUGGGCUAAACAGAGUGUAAAGACCUUCUUUAACACACUAAUGGAUCGUUACAGAUCUGUAACGAUCCCCGUACGAUCAACUAGUGGAACGAUGAGCCCGAUACCGGCUCCCACUACAGGGAUACAUAUCUCUCUGGUGGUAACAUGGAUGAACAACAUAUGGGGUACUACAUAGUCAACCCUAUGGGAGAACCAACAACUCUAAAACCCUAACAAUGAUGCACUACUAAUGACAUAAGUCGCCAAGGCGUGUCAGGAGCUACAACUUCCAAAUUCAACUGCUCCAUUUCCUUUACCAACAAUGGUUGCAUGGUUAUCGCCAUCGCCAAAUUUUCCGUCGAUUUUCGACUUAAAGCAUCUGUUACGUACAACAGUAGCUUUUCCUGGAUGAUAAAGGAUAGUCAAAUCAUAAUCCUUGAGCAACUCCAACCAUCUACGUUGUCGCAAGUUUAAUUCCUUCUGAGUAAACAGAUACUUUAAGCUUUUAUGAUCUGUAUAAACUUCGCAACGCUCGCCGUAGAGGUAGUGGCGCCAAAGCUUUAAAGCAAAUACCACAGUUGCUAACUCCAAAUCAUAUGUAGGGUAGUUCUUUUCAUAAUCUUUCAAUUGACGAGAUGCAUAAGCAAUUACUCUACCAUUCUGCAUUAGAACACACCCUAAUCCAUUCAGCGACGCAUCACUGUAAAUUACGUAAUCCAUUCCAGUAACGGGCAGUGCUAGAAUCGAGGCGGUAGUCAACCGUUCCUUUAGCUCUUGAAAGCUUCUUUCGCAGGCUUCAUUCCACAGAAACUUAGCCCCUUUAUGUGUCAGUCGGGUAAGUGAUGUAGACAUCUUUGCAAAUCCCUCUACAAAUCUUCGAUAGUAUCCUGCCGAACCAAGGAAACUUCGAAUUUCUGUAACACUGGUCGGCCUAGGCCAAUCUUUAAUCGCUUCAAUUUUCUUGGGAUCCACAGCUAUCCCAGCCUCUGAAAUGACAUGGCCCAGAAAUGCUACUUCUCGAAGCCAAAAUUCACAUUUCUUUAACUUUGCAAACAAUUUCUUUUCGCGAAGUACUUGCAACACCGUUCUCAAAUGACUUUCAUGCUCCUCGUCACUUCGAGAGUAGAUCAGAAUAUCGUCGAUAAACACGACCACAAAUCUAUCCAGAUAGGGCUUAAAGACACGGUUCAUUAAAUCCAUAAAGGCUGCUGGGGCAUUUGUUAAUCCAAAUGGCAUAACUGUAAAUUCAUAAUGCCCAUACCGUGCCCUAAAAGCAGUCUUGGAGACAUCUUCUGGUUUAAUCUUAAGCUGAUGAUAACCUGAUUGCAAAUCAAUCUUGGAAUAUACCUUCGAUCCUUGCAACUGAUCGAAUAAAUCAUCAAUUCUGGGUAAUGGAUAUUUAUUCUUGAUUGUGACUUUGUUGAUUUCUCGAUAAUCCACGCACAAUCGAAGAGAUCCAUCAUUCUUCUUAACAAAUAACACCGGUGCUCCCCAAGGUGACACACUCGGUCGAAUGAAUCCUUUAUCUAAAAGAUCUUGUAACUGUGCCUUCAGCUCUUUCAAUUCAACGGGUGCCAUCCUAUAGGGUGCUUUCGAGAUAGGAGUUGUCCCAGGGGCAAGAUCAAUCACAAACUCCGAACUCCCGCACAACUGGGAUAUUAUCAAUCUUGAUGGCUUCACCACCACUCACAGAAAUACUAGCCAAAUAGGCUACACAACCUCUCCGAAUCAACUGUCGGGCUCGCGAAGAGCUAAUAGUCAUUGCGAACAAUGAACUCUGACACCCUUUAUAAACAAACUCCUGCUGACCUGGUUCCCUAAAGGUCACCGUCCUGUUCGUGCAAUCUAUGGUGGCAUAAUACCGUGUCAACCAAUCCAUACUCAAUACUACAUCAAACUCACCUAGUUUGUGUAGUGCUAAUAAAUCCACUGGCAUAAUCCAGUCGCUUACCCUAACUGGGCAGCGAGGGAAAAACUCACAAACAUCAAGGGUAUGGUCAGGUACAAUCACUCAUCCAAGAUGCAAAGUAGGUACUACCUGAAUGCUAUGCAACUCGGCGAACUGCCGAUCAAUAAAAGAAUGCGAAGCACCAGUAUCAAAUAAUGCACGAACAUGAAUAUCAUAAAGCAUAAUGAUACCUGCUACGACCUCCUCUGAUGCUGCGGCGCCCUCAGUCUGGGCGGCAUACAUGCGCCCACUCGAACCCUGUCGAGAACUCUCAGACUGCCACUGUCCCGGUGGUCGUCUGUAGUGCGAGGGUGCUGACGGGGUCCCCUGGCUCGGAGCUGAAGAUGCAGGGGCUGAUGCCGAUGAGGGUGUAGGUGAAGAACCUCUCGGGCACUCUGAACGAAAGUGGCCCUCCUGACCACAAAGGAAGCACCUGCCUCCACGUUGUGGACACUGUAGUGGAAAGUGAGGCCCACCACAAAUGACACAACGUGGUUGUCGACGACACUCGGGUGCUCCACGGGGUGCUGAAGAACCUCGACCUCUCGACUGGCCCGGCUGGCCCCUCGGAUACUUUGGCGGUCUCCUGAAGGGUUGCUGACCACUGCUCUCAGCUGCUGGCCUCUUCCCUUUGCUCCGAUCCACAAUAUCUCUUUCUUUCAUAAUCUCUGCCCCCUUUUCCACAAUCAAGGCCCGGUUCACUACAUCCCUGUAAGUAGAGAGGUUUGACGUCUGGACCAAUCUGAAAUCGCAGGUCGCAAACCCACCUCAAAUAUGCGAGCCUUGUCCUCAUCAUCUCGAACCAUAAAAGUAACACAGUGCAGCAAUCGGGAAAACUCUCGCUCAUACUCCGCUACUCUCCUGUCCCCCUGCCUCAGGUUUCUCAGGUCCCUUUCCAUUUGCCUCUUUAUACUCUGGGGAAAGUAGGUCGUCAACAGUAAGUCCUUGAACCUGUUCCAUGUGAUAGCGAAUAAAUCAGUACGGGGAUCCUCACGAAUGUCCACCCACUACCUGUAAGCCUCGCCGUCAAGGUGGUGCGUCGGAAACCAAACUCGAUAUCGCUCCUCGACGAAUGUAUCAUAGAAUAGCUUCUCCAUGUGCAUUAGCCAUUUCUUGACCACCCAGUGAUCUGCUUUCUCCCCGUCAAAGAUACGAGGGGUGCAACGACGGAACUCAUUCAAUUGUUCCAUCAUCUGCUCUCGCUCCUCAGCCCCCACCAUCUCGGGUAACACUGUCCCUGAUGCUGCUACAGGUACUGGUGGCGGUACUACUGUCUCCUGUCAGGUCUCGGCCCUCGGAGCUACUGGGGGUGUGUCAAGUACAGGUGACUGUGCUCUCACUGUCGCAUCCCUGUCCGGUACUGUAGGUAUAGGAUCCGGAAUGUCCUUGUCAGUCGUCUGCCGUAGUAGUAAAUUCUCUAACCUCUUCAUCCUGUCCUCCUGUCGACGUGCGGCAUCCAUCUGCUGUCGCGUGGCCGCAGCCUGCUGAGCAACCAAAUCUGUCAGCUUCGCGAGCUGAUCCUGCAACUCAUGGAUCCCACUAGAUCCCGAAGUAACCGAAGUUCCCACUUCCUCUGCAUCCGCCGCCUCAGCUGCCCCGGCGGCUUGCGAACGAGUCAAAGGCAUCUUGAGCUGCAGCACCAAACAAAUAUAGAUUAAUAAAACCUAUACUACUGAACCCUCAUUGAGGAUAAAAACCAACUAAUCAAGCGAAAGUAAUGAAAUGUAACGCGUACUAACUUCCAAUGUCACGUUGUCGGCCGCCAACGUGACCUUCUGCAAAGUUAGUAAUUGCACAUUCCGAUCAAACCCCUACUAUUCGGAGUUUAUAAAUACCCAAUCCAAGUACUUUCACUAACAACAACCUCGACUAGACCUCGUCUCUCACGAGCCUAUUCUUAUAGUCCAACCAGCCUAAGGUUUAUUAGGUCUACUAAGACUCAACCCUAGGCUCUGAUACCACCAUAAUCUGUCACGCCCGGGUAUCAGCGGAAGCAUAUCCGGUACGUGCACAGACCCGCCAUACACCUGCAGUAUAUAAGGCGUCUACAAGAAACAAGUCGAUAGGAGUACAAGCAUAAAAUAACUCUAUCCAGAUAUCAGAGCAUAGAAAAAGUCACAAGGACUAACAACAAUAGAACAAAGAGUAACAAUCCCAAAAUCUCAACAACCAAGAGGGUAUCCCAACUGAUACAUCAUGGGGUAUACAACAAGUAGGUACAAUGGUGGUCUCUCUAUACAUAGGGACAUCACCCUCGGCCAUAGCCCGAGUAGCAAGGUGAUCAACUAGCAUGCCCCUAGCAAUGUCUAGCUAGAUGCAACUCCCUUGCCACGAUCCCUAGCCUUUCCUGUAGAUGGCUCUGUAAAAAAUAGCAACAAAAAGGGCGUGAGAACUAUAAACAAUAGUUCCCAGUGGGUAAGCCGCCAGCCUCGGCGAAUUACACCACUGGGCUCAUGAUGUACUAAAUGAGAACAAAAAUAAUAAUUGCAUGAUAAUAAGCAUGAUAUUAAGCAUAUAGUCAACAUGUAGUAACUUUCUACAGUAAUGAAUCAUUUGCAUAAGAGAGAUAUCGCAACUUUUAUAAUCAUGAACAUAAACAUGAAUAUAUGCAUGAAUGUGAAGUGACUACUGUACACUUUUACUAGUAAUCAUUCAUUACCGUCCUUUGUCAUUUAGUACUUUCACCUCAAUAGAAUUUUCCUUUCAUUCAUCAGGACCUACCCCAGGUAGUCCGGCUUGCACCGUGCCUAAUGGCCCCGUGGUAGUAUACACUCCCCAUGGCAAUCCACUUCGGCACCCAAUCCCGCACGGGCGAGCAACUGUCGCGUAGGCCAACUCCGGAGUGCCGGCUUGUAGGGAGCUACCCUCACAAGCAUGUGCGAAUGAGCACAAUGGCAAGCAAGCAAAAUUCAUAGUCCAACAUAUUUCAAACAUCAUGGUAUAGUAUGCUAUGUUUUACUCUCGAUCUAUUGAUCGGAAUUCUCAAUAUAAAGAAUGUAGACAAUAACUAGCAUCCACUAGGUUAGUAAGCAUGCAAGGAUAAUGCUAAUUUACAUAUGGCAUUAGGAUCUUUCACUAUCAUGGCACUAUCAAUCAAGGCACAAGUAUGUCAUUGUUGUCUACUUUACAAACAAUAAAGUCAACGAAUGUCAUUGUCCUCUACUUUAUAGGAACAUAAUAAACUUAUCUCUCGGUUGUUCUACUGAACGAAACAAGAAUACCUCUAUUCAUAAAUGUUCCCUACUUUAUAGAGAUUCUAUUUCAAUCAUAUGGCAGUUCUAUAUUAACCACAAUUGUGCACACUUAUAUGGAUUCUAUAAUACAUAUAGAACAUAGGGGAGCUUCACUUGCUCUGGUUAGAUCAAACCCACCUAUUUCUAAGCUCCAAACAGUCCAAAGGAAGUCCCAAAUUCGGCUCAACGAAGCCCCACUGCUGCUGAAAACAAGGUACGAGAGUCGAGUCAAUACUAUAACCGAAAUAUCCAAUUUCGGUACAAUUCGCACUUAAAGCAAAGUAGGAAUUUAAUUCCCUGUUUAGGGCUAGUUUGAUACCUCAAAUUAUGCUUCCAAAAGGCCCUCCACUGCCAACCAAAGUCGGUCCAAGGGUCAAAUGCCCUCUCGCUGCGAACAAAACCGAAACGGCGUCAAGAUGCUUGUAUAUAAGCUAUAUUAGUCGAAAUCUAGAAAUUUCAGUUUUCUAGCUGAACUUCUUGCUCACCUCAAAGUAGAACACUUUCUAAACCAGCCUCCCAGGUCACCAAAUAAGCUUCAUGUGGUUCGGAAACCUGCUGCUGUAAGGAAGUGAAUUCUCGAAAUAUGAGGAUUGUACUUCAUCCAGGAUCGACUGAUUGUCGAAAGUAAACCCUUUGGGGGAGUCGAGAAUGUCCAAAGCACAAAGAGUGCCUUGGAGUUGAGUCCGCGAGAGCAAAUGAGGCAAAUGGCAUCAUUGGGCAGAAGUUGCUCUCGGGGACCGGUCUCUGCAGGUGAGAGACCGGUUCCCUCGGCUGGGUGUUGCGGGGUUGCGUGAUGCAACCGGUCCCUGGUGGUGAGGGACCGGUUCCCGAACGUGGCCCCAGCGUGAGAUGCCAAAAAUUGGCUAAGUCCUGAAAAUCAAGCUCUCGGGGACCGGUCUCUCAGGUGAGGACCGGUCUCCCGAGGACCGGUCUCCCGGGAAGAGACCGGUUCCCGAACGCGUGCGCCCGAGGGAAGCUCUCGGGGACCGGUCCCAAGUCGGGGAGACCGGUCCCUCCGCGCGAAAACUGCCCAGUAAGGGCAGUGCACAGGGGUGAAAGUUGCAGGGACUUUUGUUGGCAAAAUGGCAUUUAUUUGAGUGGCUGAGCCCUCUCUCCCUCACACUCUCUCAUUUCACCUCUCAUCUCACUCUCAUUUCCUCUUGCCUCUUCUAUCUCUAGAAAGGAAAGAAGAGAAAAGAACAAGAAGGAGAGGAAGAAAAGAAAAAAGGGAAGAUAAGGAAGAGAAGAAAAGACGAUCAAGAGGAAGGCUUUGAGCCACCUCCAUCCCCUCUCCUCUUACCAUUGGAGUAGCUCUUGAGUAACUACUAAACCCUACUGCUUCUAGAACUAGUUUUAUGGGUUAUGCCUUGGAAUGGUCAAAUGGACCCUAAGCAACUGUCUAAUAUGAUCAAUCCCCAAGAAUCUAGGGAUUAUGGGUGGUUUGCAAUGCAAAUCUAGGGUUCCAAAAUGGGGUUUUUGUAAAGUAUGAGAUGAUCCAUCAUUGAAGCAUUGAAAAAACCUAAUUGAUAGGUCUCAAAAACGUCGGGGUGAGUCGAUUUUGGCAUUACGCGAACCGAACGUGAAGUCUCGGGCAAUCGUUGGGUAGUGUUGAUUCGGCGCGGAAAGCAAAGCCUUUUUGCGAAACUCCCGCGAAAAGAAUUUCCCAAAGCCAUUAACAUUGAUAGAAAAAAAGUGGGGCUGGUCAUCCGACAACAAAUUCGAACCCUUUCCUAUUCUUAACGAAUUAAGCAUUAAUCUCACAUCUCUUACAUGUUCAUUAGGAUUGAUAGUAGCUCCAAAUAUCUAAAUAAUAACCUAAAGUGUUACUGGAACAAAUGGUAACUAAGAUAUAGGAUUGGAACGCUGGAUCCUAUGAUGCUAGAGAUAGAGAUGAACCAAAAUUGAGACAUAAAGAAACGAGUGUUAUGUCGGGAAAGAAAAUCAAACUAGGACCAUCUCCAAACAUGAAUGAAACGAUGGCAUUAACUAUGUAAUAAACACAGAGGUCGAUGGACCAGGGAACACUCACUCUCUAGAAAAUGCCUUGUGAACAAAUGAAUUAAACUAAAAUCAUUGCAGAAGUCGGAAACCUAAUGAUUCCGCGAUACUCGGCCUGUCGAUUGGUUAUGACUUCUAGUUGAAGAGUGGUCCUCACUGGGCUAUGUAUACCACACAACCAUACCAAUCCCACAUGCAAGAGGGGAAUUGUCGUCGGAAGGAGUACUCCGGCAGUUCGCGUGACUAGGAAACGCAAAAAAAGAGUCGCCAGACGUACCCGCUGGGGCACCUUGGAGCUCCCAAAUAAACCCAACCACUUUGGAUAAUCAUAUAGGCAACGCCACCAGAUUGGGUAAGAUGAAAUAAGCUAAGGUUAUAAAGUCAUUGAGCAUACUAAAACAUUAAAACGAGACUUAUUAUAUACAAGAUAGAAACAUAGUUUUCCUACUAUAGCAUUUACAGCUUUCAGAUACAUAUCUAUCUAUCUAUCUGUUGUUACUUGUGCCCACUUGGACCUAGUGGGGAGAUCGGCAGGGUCGGCGGCCGAGCCCACUGGGAACUAUGGAAGAUAGUUCUCACCCCACUCUAUUUCCAGUGGUAGGUUCAGGGCUGCAGAGAGAGGACCGCGGCAAGGGCGUCGCGCCCGACCAGUGAGACCGUGGUAGUAUAGUAGCUUUCCUUUUGCAUUAGUCACCUAUGUAUUGAGAGAGAUUCUUGUAGGUGAGGUUGGAGAGCUAUGUAUUUUGGAUGAAAAAUGAUGUAAUGAAUGUAACUAAUGUAAUAGUUAGUAAAGUACUAUCUUCAUUUCACUCGUAUAUCUUGUGGAUUACUUGCUCUUCUCGUUGUUGGCACUGUUGGUGCCCUUGCUGAAUGUGUAUGUUUAGAAUUUAAAAUCCUGGGUAAAUUCCUAUACACAUUCCUGUGCUUGAGCCUUGGGCGGACAGAGGAGGUGCUGUCCGUUCGGCGGUCUGUCGCCGCGGCCGAAUCGUGCCAAAUGGGUAGUGGUUUCGGAGCGGGGCGUGACAGCUGCGAAGGUACAAUUCCCAAACUGCAUCAAUUACCCGAUUAAGUUUCAUUUAGGUCCAAAAUAGCUUCACAACGACCAAUUACCUUAUCCAAGUGUCAAAGCAGCUUAUCCCUGGUGUAAAGUGAAUAAUUCACAGCUAAUUAGGUCACCUUGAGCUGCUGAAAUCCACCACCAACUCUGCUGGGAGUAACAAAACCAUAACAACUCAAAAUCCACUACUUAACUUUCGAUUAACGAAGGGUUUAAGCGAUUUACCUUUCUAUAGCUGCGACCAAGCUUUCAUGAGGUUAAGAUCACAGAAAAAUCAGUAUAAAUCCUCCCUCCCACGUUCCAAAGACUUCCCCCAAGUCUUCCAACCAGCGAGUAACGAGCUCGGCUCGAAAUCGGCGCGAAACGGUGAAUUUCCCUUAGAGAGAGAAAAACCCUAGAGAGAGGAAGUAAGGAUGGUGUAAGAACCUUGCUCUGAGCUCACAAGGCCUUCCAGCAACUUCAGGGUCGACCAAAUAUCUCAGGGGAUAAGAUCAUAAGCCAAAAAGACCAAACAAUCCCUGCUGCCACGCAGCUGCUGCUGCUGCUGCUUGCUGUACCGGUACAGCAUUAUUCCUGUACCGGUACACAAUGCAAAAAUCUGCCCAAUGCACUGAAGUAAUGCACUUUCCUAUCUCCGGCAAUCCGAUCACUCUCUAACUUGUCCAAGAACUUAUCCAAACCUUUUAGAACCUGUUGGAUAGUUCCACAACUGAUGCCACACACUCGAACUCCGCAAUUUGCAAAAGUUCAGUGUAUUACAAUUUGGAAGAAAAUGUAAUGUAAUAAUGCUAAAUGUGAUGUAAAAAUGAAUCUAAUGGGAAUGCUUGUAAUAACAUAGGAUGCGUUAUGUUGUUUGAUACCUUCCUUAUGCAAUCUUGCUUGAAUACUGUUCCUGGUUGGAACUUCUUGUACUUGUAUUGAUUGCGAAGCCUAGGACGUACAGGGGAGACUCUGUUCGUUCGGCGGUCUGUCGGCGGCGCCGCGACCUCGGCCAAAUAGGCGGGUGGUCGCGGGUCGUGACAGAUAAUAGUGGUAUCAGAGCAUAAAGUAGAGAAUGGGAAAUGGUUUAGAUGGACCUAGGAGACCCUAGGAUAGUAAACCAUAGGAGAAUAAGGCUCGUGAGAGACGAGGACUUGUGACUUAUGGCGAAAGAUUGAUCAAUUGGGUCAGGUUAGUAAACCUCUAAAACGGAUGUUAGAGGUAGACUCGAGGUGUGGUUUAUUCUCAACCGAGGGUGUUCAUGUUGGGUAUACACAAUAUGAAACCGAGUGAUGAGAAUAGGCACCCUUGCAUGACUUUCGCCCGAUUCUAGUUGGUGUCAGUUGUUUCGCGCUCGACCUUGAGGGUCGAGAAUCGACCGAGUUGUCGUGUCUUAGGAAGCGAUAGCACCACGUAGGCGAUCUUAAUCUAGGUCGGCGCGGGAUGGGACGAGUGAUGUCCCUAAGCAAUCCAAAAUGAGCGGAGACUUGGGACUUCGCGAGUGAUUGGCCACUCUCGUGUGAGUGGCAGGGUAAUGCCUCAGCGGAGACCUUGGCCAGACGUGGUCGAGGUUGUUCACGUAAGGAAGUGAAUUCUCGAAAUUCAAGAGUUGUGCUUCGUCCAGGAUUGACUCUUUGUCGAGUGAGUAUCCUUCGGAAAAGCUAAAGAUAUCCAAAACACAAAAAGUGCAUUGGUAACGUGUCCGCGAGAGCAAAUUUGCAAAAAUCUAGACUUAGCAGAUUUUGCUCUCGGGGACCGGUCCCUGGAAGGGAGGACCGGUCCCCGUAGCUGAUGGUUGCGGGGGAGGCUGAUGCAACCGGUCCCUAGCUGAGGGGACCGGUCCCCGUAUGCGACACCAGCGAGAGAAGGGCAAAGAAAGGCUAAGUCCUGAAAAUUCAGCUCUCAGAGACCGGUCUCUCAGGAAGGACCGGUCGCCCAGGGACCGGUCUCUCGGGUGGGGACCGGUUCCCGUACGCGAAAGGUCCCCAGGCCGCGGGGAGGGCUCUCGGGGACCGGUCUCCCCAACGAGGGACCGGUCCAUCUGGGCGCAGAAUGCCCAGUGAGGGCUGUGCACAAGGAUGAAAGUUGAGGGGCUUAUUUGCAUUUAUGCAACACGUGGGGCUAUGUGAGGAGUAUGAGAGCUCUUUUCUCUCAUUUCUCACCCACACACCCUCUCAUAUCUCUCUUUUUCUCUCUAGAAGACAAAAAGAGGAAGAAGAAAGGAAAGAAAAGAAAGAGAAGGAGAAGGAGGUCUUCCUCAUCUUCUUCAUCUUCUCCUUGGUUGGAGCUUCUUGGAGAGGUAAGCUUCUAAGCUCUCUCUCAUGGUGGAUUUCUAGAGAUAGGUUUGAUUGCUCUCGAAAUGGAGUUUUGUGUUAUCUGAGGGCGUAGUACCUGCCAGUACAGGUAUAGAGCCAGAUGGCACUAGCGAAGUGCUAGAAGUAAUCUAUGGCGAGAAGUGAGACUCGCGGUAGAGAUAGAAGUGGCGAAACGACUCUCAGAGCAAUAUGAGUAGUAAAUUGCGAGAGUUGAGCCAUGAUGCUUAUGAGAACACCCGAGUAGUCCGAAAAUUUCGGAUGUCAUUCCGAUAGAUCGAACAG